rnacentral:rRNA from 1 species
CCUACGGGGGGCAGCAGUAAGGAAUAUUGGUCAAUGGACGCAAGUCUGAACCAGCCAUGCCGCGUGAAGGAUGAAGGCCCUCUGGGUUGUAAACUUCUUUUAACUGGGAAGAAAUCCAUGUAUUCUUAUGUGGUUGACGGUACCAGAAGAAUAAGCACCGGCUAACUCCGUGCCAGCAGCCGCGGUAAUACGGAGGGUGCAAGCGUUAUCCGGAUUUACUGGGUUUAAAGGGUGCGUAGGCGGGCUUUGAGAAAUCUCCGGGCUUAACUCGGAAAUUGCCGUUGAUACUAUUAGUCUUGAAUUAAGUUGAGGUGGGCGGAAUAAGUCAUGUAGCGGUGAAAUGCUUAGAUAUGACUUAGAACACCGAUUGCGAAGGCAGCUCGCUAAACUUAUAUUGACGCUGAGGCACGAAAGCGUGGGGAUCAAACAGGAUUAGAUACCCUGGUAGUC